ACGGGAGGCAGCAGUGGGGAAUAUUGGGCAAUGGGCGAAAGCCUGACUCAGCAACGCCGCGUGAAGGAAGAAGGUCUUCGGAUUGUAAACUUCUUUUAUGAGGGACGAAGGACGUGACGGUACCUCAUGAAUAAGCCACGGCUAACUACGUGCCAGCGGCCGCGGCAAUACGUAGGUGGCAAGCGUUAUCCGGAUUUACUGGGUGUAAAGGGCGCGUAGGCGGGAAGGCAAGUCAGAUGUGAAAUCCAUGGGCUCAACCCAUGAACUGCAUUUGAAACUGUUUUUCUUGAGUGCUGGAGAGGUAGACGGAAUUCCUUGUGUAGCGGUGAAAUGCGUAGAUAUAAGGAAGAACACCAGUGGCGAAGGCGGUCUACUGGACAGUAACUGACGCUGAGGCGCGAAAGCGUGGGGAGCAAACAGGAUUAGAUACCCUGGUA
rnacentral:rRNA from 1 species